rnacentral:rRNA from 1 species
UAUUGGACAAUGGGCGAAAGCCUGAUCCAGCAAUGCCGCGUGAGUGAUGAAGGCCUUAGGGUUGUAAAGCUCUUUUACCCGGGAUGAUAAUGACAGUACCGGGAGAAUAAGCUCCGGCUAACUCCGCGCCAGCAGCCGCGGUAAUACGGAGGGAGCUAGCGUUGUUCGGAAUUACUGGGCGUAAAGCGCACGUAGGCGGCUUUGUAAGUUAGAGGUGAAAGCCUGGAGCUCAACUCCAGAAUUGCCUUUGAUACUGCAUCGCUUGAAUCCAAGAGAGGUGAGUGGAAUUCCGAGUGUAGAGGUGAAAUUCGUAGAUAUUCGGAGGAACACCAGUGGCGAAGGCGGCUCACAGGACUGGUAUUGACGCUGAGGUGCGAAA